rnacentral:rRNA from 1 species
UACAGAGGGUGCAAGCGUUGUUCGGAAUCAUUGGGCGUAAAGCGCGCGUAGGCGGCCAGAUAAGUCCGGUGUGAAAACUCGAGGCUCAACCUCGAGCUGUCGAUGGAAACCCUCCAGCUAGAGUCCGGAAGAGGAGAGUGGAAUUCCUGGUGUAGCGGUGAAAUGCGCAGAUAUCAGGAAGAACACCCGUGGCUAAGGCGGCUCUCUAGUACGGUACUGACGCUGAGACGCGAAAGCGUGGGGAGCGAACAGG